CCUACGGGGGGCAGCAAUUAGGAAUCUUGCGCAAUGGGGGCAACCCUGACGCAGCGACGCCGCGUGCGGGAUGAAGGCAUUCGUGUCGUAAACCGCUUUUGAGGGGGAAGAAUACUGACGGUACCCCUCGAAUAAGCCCCGGCUAACUACGUGCCAGCAGCCGCGGUAAUACGUAGGGGGCGAGCGUUGUCCGAAGUUACUGGGCGUAAAGCGCGCGUAGGCGGCCUCUUAAGUCUGGUGUGAAAGGUUCAGGGCUCAACCCGAACAGUGCACUGGAUACUGGCAGGCUUGAGAUCGGGAGAGGAGGGUGGAAUUCCUGGUGUAGCGGUGAAAUGCGUAGAUAUCAGGAGGAACACCGAUGGCGAAGGCAGCCCUCUGGCCCGAUACUGACGCUGAGGUGCGAAAGCGUGGGGAGCGAACGGGAUUAGAUACCCCUGUAG
rnacentral:rRNA from 1 species